GGUCUCCUUUUUUUCCAUGUACGACAACACUUCUGUCAAAGCAAUUCUUUGGGUCGCUCCCUUCAACCCAUAUCGCUGCCACCUGAGAAGUCGUUGGGGCAUUGUACCUUCGUUGAUCCAAGUUGAUAUCCGUGUUUAGUGAGAUCCUAUACUCAUCUAGAUUUGGAACAGACCCAAGGCUCUUUAAAACUUGUGCAUAAGGGUUACGCUCAAGUAUUCGCAGAAUCUUUCGUAUGAGGUCUAUAUUAAGAUCUGGAGACCUCAUAGCCCUGUGAACCAAGUCUUGAUCUGUAUCAUAAAUAUAAAGCUGCAAAUGCCGAGGUCCAUUAUCAGCCGGCACCAGACCAUCAAGAGCGUGGUAUAAGCCACCACAUGCACGAAAUGUAUAUACUCCAGUUCCUGCCGCUGUGCUUACUCGGCGAUCAAGAGUGACUCCUAGAGUUGUGAAUGAGAAGUGCGAGUUGAAAUACCGUAUAUGCUCUCUAAAAUAUUUAGCAUCCUCAUCAUCUUGACUUGUAAACAACCGUUUCAGCUCUUCUGGAAUGUCUGGAGUAAUAAUAUCGACUUUUCCUUUUCUGCAACAAAAUGCUGGGCCCUCAAAUGGAAACCGCAAUGCCCCACAGUGGCGACAGUCGGGAACCUUUCUUAGGACAUGGUGCUUUGUAGGUAGGUUUCGGUAAAUGAAUUCAUCGGUAUUUGAUACUGGUGCGGCUCGUGGGCGUCCAAGUUGGUACGAUUCAUAAGCAAGACCUAGCAUUGAAGAACAAUUUGUAUUAAAUAUUGAAUGAAGACCUAUGAGGCUCAUGGUAAAUUCGGAAAUAGACAAUGGACAUAUCUUCGGCCAUAAAUAUUCUAGCUUCCUCAUCAGGCUCAUGGUAUAUAGCUUCUCCAUUUUGCAAUGGCGCCAAACAGUCUAGUAGGCAAUAUAUUGGUCAAACAUAAAUGCCACAAAAUUGUCGACGAAGAACCUGAUAUGUGAACGACAAAAUAUAUAAUGUACCUUCAAAAUUGGGUUGUUGAACAAUGGGCUCAAAUAUUCCAUAUGGGUCUUCUAUAUGGUCGUUGCCCACUACGGAAAACCACAAGAUAAGUAGAGCAUACAAAAUCAGGUACUAUAGUAGUCUAGGGUCAUCAAACUUACUUUGUAGAUCUUGAGUGCUUUGAGUAUCAUCCGGAGACGGUUCCGCAGGGCGUCUCUUAUCAUUAGUUGGCGUCUUCAUUGGUUGACUGGAGCCAUUAAAAGGAUGUAUACCUGAAUAAACGAAAGAGAACCAGGAAUUGCGAUCAAAUUAACACUAUGGACACACUUCCACCAUAACUAAAUGGACGAACUAAACCGCACCUUGAAUUGAGAAAUCUGGGUUACGUAUUCUGCUAAUUUGGGGUGCCUGAACCCCUGAAAGUUGUGUGAGAGGCCCUGCAUUGUGUUCAAUUGACAGUAACUGUCAUUCAGAAGCUGAUUAUAGUUUAUUAUUGUUUAGAAGAGUACAAACCAAAGGCAUUAAAGCAUACCUUGUGCAAUAUCUCUUACGACGGUGGAGAUUGAUUGCAUGUUAUGACCAAGAGGCAUAGCAACAGCUCUAAUGCGUCCACCAAUUUGUUGUAUCUGAUAUGCAUCAUUCCUGUGCAACCAAUCGGACUCCUCAUCGUAUGUUAAAGUAUUCUCCUUGUCGUAGGGGGCAUGUUCAGGUGAUAGAUCUGAAUUUGGUAUAUUUGAUAAUACUGCAAGAAAAUUGUAGAUAACAUCAGUAAAACCUUUUUUGUUAUAUUCGAUAAGAUAACACCAUGCAAUCAAUAUGUUAUGGUAGCACAGAACCUGCAGACGAUAUUUGUUGUAGCUGGGUGACACCGGAUUGUCCUGUAGCUGGUGUGUGUAACACGGUGCUAUCGUUGGUGAGUAGGGUCGUAGUAGCCUUUCUCUGCUCACGUGAUAGGCGUUGUCGUUUUAAUAUCUCAUCCCUAUUUUGUGCAUACCGCUCCCUGUUCCUUUGCCUCCGUAUGUCUUUAGGGUCUACAUAGAUGAGAAAGCUAGUUAGUAUCAACAAAUAGGGUUGUAUGUAGUUGGUUGAUCGUCAUUACCAAUGGGUAUGGACAUCGGUGUUUGUGUUUCAUUUUCAUGGACACUGAUAUCAGCGGAAGCGUCAGCCAUUUUUUUGUUUCUGUAGGCCUGACGUUGUCUCUUUAAUAUUUCGUCUCUAUUUUGUGAAUACCGUUCCCUAUCCAGUCGCCUCUUCAGCUCCGUAGGGUCUACAUGUAUGAUUUAGAGUAUCAUAAGUUACGUGAAUAAUACAUAAGCAUGCAGUAUAUGGCCAUACUUACCAUGGGACAUGGCUAGGGGUGUGUGUGGCACAUUUUGCUCAUCAUUCGGCAGAGGUUUAUCAGUCUGCUUCUUUAAACGUGCCUCACGACGUCUUUUCAGAAUGUCCUCUCUGUUUCGUGCAUAGUAUUCUCUGUCCCUCUGCCUCUUAAUUUCUUUAGGGUCUGUUUAAAUAUACAAUGGAAAUUAGCACAUUCGUUAUAGAAGUGUUCAUGAACCCAGAAAAAAAGAAGCGCUCAGUUGGCUGAUAGUUACCUGAGGAAUGGAUGUUGCUUAUAUCCUGAAAUGGGGUGCGUGCCCCCGAGUGAUUUGGGGAAGUCAUAACAUCGACUUCGUAGACUGAAUACUCCAGUAAAAAAUCUGUCAAGAGGGUUGACUGGAAGCAUAUAUUAGUCAGAAUUAGAUUCAAGUUAUGUUGUCAUAAAUCUGUAGAUUUCAUUUUCUUAAAGCAAAAGGAAGUUAGAAGAUAAUUUGCAAGAACAAGAAGAAAUGUCUAAUAUUAAAAUCUUGCCUGAUAUUUUUAGAGGAUGGCACAGGUGAUGCAAGGAACCUACGACCUGUUUGCAGCGAAGAAGGUGAGGGGGAGCAGCCGCGCAUGUAAUGGCCAGUGGAGGGCGGCCAGGGAAGGCGGCGGCGGUGUUUUCGUGCGGCGAGGUCGCCGUCCAGGAAGGCGAAGGCGAUGAUGUUUCUGAGCGGCAAGGGGAUAUCCGUGGGGUGUGUUUCUUGUUUUUGGAUUUGAAAGGUCUAUUAUUAUUUGUGGUAAUGGGGGAUACGUGUUUGAAUUUGUUUGGAAGACCUACGUGAUUGUAGGGAUUGUUUUUGCUUUCGCAUGGAAGUUUUCCUCCGCGGUGGAGUAUGGUCAGUCAACAUAAAUUAGUAAGUGCACACCAGAAAACAUAUCAGGUGAAGGCUAGCCGUUGGAUUUAGAUAAGUGGGGAUAAUCCUGUGGUAGUAUUGGGUCCGUGUAUGUUUUGUGGGGUGCGUUUAGCAAAGAUAAUGUUUGCUCUUUUNNNN
rnacentral:lncRNA from 1 species